rnacentral:rRNA from 1 species
UACGUAGGGUGCGAGCGUGUCCGGAAUUAUUGGGCGUAAAGAGCUUGUAGGCGGUUUGUCGCGUCUGCUGUGAAAAUCCGGGGCGUCAACCCCGGACUUGCAGUGGGUACGGGCAGACUAGAGUGUGGUAGGGGAGACUGGAAUUCCUGGUGUAGCGGUGAAAUGCGCAGAUAUCAGGAGGAACACCGAUGGCGAAGGCAGGUCUCUGGGCCACUACUGACGCUGAGAAGCGAAAGCAU